rnacentral:lncRNA from 1 species
CCCCCACCUCCUUUGUUCUUUUUUCCUUCUUUAUCACCUUUAUCUCCUCCUCCUUUCUUGCCUUCUUUCCUCAUUUUACCCUCACCCAUUCCCUUCAUUUGCACCGGAAUCUCAAACCCGCCACCACCUUUCUUCCCCUCUCCUCCGCCACCACCACCACCGCCGGCUUUGAAACCAUUCAUCAUCAUCAUCAUCUCAUUAGGUCCCUUAGCUCCACCACCACCACCACCCAUUUGAGGCAUCAUCUUGUUAGGCAUCAUCAUCAUCUUGUUAGGAGGCAUGUGAUGAUUACCACCUCCUCCCCCACCAUGACCAUGUCCUCCUCCCAUAUCAUCAUCCUCAUCCUCAUCAUCGAACUCAUCAUCAUCAUAAUCAUCCUCACUGAACUCAUCAUCGUAAUCCCUUUUUUUUUUUUUUCUCUUUACGAUUUAGUUCUUUUGUGAUUAUCGAUCACCGGAGUGCGGAGGAAGAAGACGACGACGAGCGUUUUUAUUUUAUUUAUUUCAUAUAAAUUUCCAUUUAAUUCUCUAAAUACUGUAAUGUGAUUGGCCGAGACACGUAUGAUCUACUUCGCAAACCGAAAUUUCGGUCUAUGAAUACCUUUUUAUUCCGGUUCAAACUCGGUCUAAGAAUAUUCAUUCAAUGAAUUUUGACUAUUAUGAGUCUUAUCACACUCAAAAUUCUACAUUUGGCAUAAUAAUUACUAGUAAUAAACAUCGGAUUAUUAUGGUUGACUGUAGAUCAGUUGACUGAUUAAACCGGGAUUUAGUUUACUAGGCCCAAUGGGUAAGCAAAAUAUUGAUGGUUCAUUUAAAAGCCCGUCAUUGUGAGUCACUCGCACAAGUUGUUUAAGAUAAGAGGACCGAACGUUUUCUGCCGCCAAACUAUUGAUGUGGUUUCUCAGUUCACACACUAGUUUCACUUUUGGAGAACACUAUUUGAUAGAAACACCAGAGACCUAAUUCUGAAAUAUUUUGUCCACACUUUCUUAUUGAAAAAACAUCAUAAUCAACUCAUAAAUCUCUCACGGAUUUGGUGCUCAAUGGGUCAAAAUUAAUAUGUGGUGUGUACAUAAAGUUAGUGGCACACUAUAGGAGUUAGUGCUCUUGUGCCCUACUAUAGAGGGCGGCUGCACAAUCCUUUUCACACAGAAAAAUAAAGAUCUUAGUUUGUAACCAUCUUCAAGAUAUUAUAAACAUCAUUCCACUUAACAAAAUUAAAGCACAUUUUGUUUUCAAUCCCCUCAAAAGAGUUUUAAAAGAGAAAGUCAUCCCAAAAAAAUACAUAAUAAAGAGUUCUAAGACAAACAUAUUCAUAUCCGUUUUUUCUUCUAAUUAAAACAUUACAAAAGAUCACAUUAUACUACAGCUACCUGGAUUCUCAUCGCUGAACAUAUGAGUAUAUGAAUCCGAAUGUGGAGGCGGCAUUGGCGGUGGAUGAGCAUAGUUCACCGACGGAUAAGGUCGAGCAUACAUCAUUGGGUGGUACAUGUCUCCACCGUGACCACCACCAUAUCCUCCAUGAGCUGCAGCUGCAGCUUGUUGUUGUUGCUGAUGCAUCAUCAUUUGCAUAUAUUGUUGUUGGUUCAUUUGAUGACUUGCCUGAGCUGGUUGUGGAUAAUAUCCUCCACCUCCACCUCCACUCAUCGGCAAGCCUUGAACCGCCGGGUAAGAGCCACCUUGAUGUCCCAUAGGACCCAUCUGACCACCUUGGUGUCCCAUCAUACCCAUCUGACCACCUUGACCCAUCAUGCCCAUAGGACCUCCUUGACCCAUCAUACCCAUCGGACCGCCUUGACCCAUUGGGCCACCCAUCCCCUUAGCACUAUGAUUACCCUUGUUACCUCCUCCUCCGCCUGCUUUGUGGUGUUUCAUGAGCUCAUCAAUAUCAUGGGCCCCAUGGCCUCCUCCUUUUGACCCACCACCUCCACCUUUUUUAGGCCCACUGUCAUAAUGAUGAACUCCUCCUCCCCCACCACCGGAGGAUUUGACCUUAUCACCUCCACCGCCUCCUUCUUUCUUACCACCUCCCUUCUUCUCAUCUCCUUUACCACUUUUACCAUUUUUGAAAAACCCUAGCAGGCCACCACCACCACUUUUGGCAUCUGUUUUUCCAUUUUUGCCCCCACCUCCUUUGUUCUUUUUUCCUUCUUUAUCACCUUUAUCUCCUCCUCCUUUCUUGCCUUCUUUCCUCAUUUUACCCUCACCCAUUCCCUUCAUUUGCACCGGAAUCUCAAACCCGCCACCACCUUUCUUCCCCUCUCCUCCGCCACCACCACCACCGCCGGCUUUGAAACCAUUCAUCAUCAUCAUCAUCUCAUUAGGUCCCUUAGCUCCACCACCACCACCACCCAUUUGAGGCAUCAUCUUGUUAGGCAUCAUCAUCAUCUUGUUAGGAGGCAUGUGAUGAUUACCACCUCCUCCCCCACCAUGACCAUGUCCUCCUCCCAUAUCAUCAUCCUCAUCCUCAUCAUCGAACUCAUCAUCAUCAUAAUCAUCCUCACUGAACUCAUCAUCGUAAUCAUCAUCACUAAACUCAUCGUCC